rnacentral:lncRNA from 10 species
UAAAUAGUGUAGAGAUGAAUGAAGAGAAAAUUACAUCUUGGAUCAAUUAAGCAGAAUAAACUUUUUAGAAAAUUUCCGAGGAAGUUUGGAAAUUGACUGCAUGGCAAGAUAGCAGAAGAAUGUGCAGCAUUUUGCUAUCACAUACAGUGAGGUACAAAUAAGGGCCAUUCAGAUGGGCUCCAAACAAGCAUCUCUCCAGCUGUGAAAAGAAGGCGCUGCUUUGGGAGACUAUGCAGGCUUUGGAAAUUAAGUAGAAGAAAAAUCUGAACACAUGGGAGAAGAUCCCUAGCAGCCAUCUCCUCUGGCUUCCCCGGUCCACACAAUACCUAGAAUCAAGCUCCAGGAGAUCAGUAUGCUGACUGGUGACUUUUAAAUAAAAAUAAAAUCAAACACCUGUGCAUCAGGCAACAUGAACUGCUGGAGUUUCCACACGGAUCCUGCUACAGGUCCAGCUUGCUCAUAAAGAUGGGUUCAUUUCUCAAGUGAAAUAUAGAGGAGACUUAUUAGAGUAGCAGCGACAUGAUAAGUGAAUAUUCUGCCAGCUUUUUUUUCCUCCUUUUAUAUAAGUUGAAUGCUGUCUCUAGUCUCUUCAAGUAGAAUUCUGAUUUAAAAGAAAGAAGAAAAGAGGAGAGAAGAAGAUGGGAAGAAAAAAAAAGAAGGAUUGUUAUCUCUGGCUGGAAACAAGAAAUCUCUAGACAUGCACUUCCUAGAGCCCACUAAUGUCUUUACCUCUGACUUGACUAAUUUUCAUUGGAAUUUUAGUUUGGUUGCUUCCCUGUGAUCUCAUUAGGACAUCAUGAUUUAUGUGCCUCCAUUACAAGAGCACCAGUUGUUAGUCUUAUUCUCACCCAGCCUCACCUCACCUCCCAAAAAACAGUUAAAAAAUUUUUAAAUAACUUCAUGUAAAGUUUAUAUACACACACACACACACACACACACACACACAUACAUACAAUACACAUACACAUUAUGUAUAUAUAUAUAUAUAUGUAUGUAUUUGGUUGCUUUUUAUUUGUAAUUAUUGUUUUUAUUUUUCUAUGUCGUAACUCCAUGCAGCCAUUUGAGAUAAUUAAGAUAAUUCAGUGGCAAACUAUGUGAAGGUGGUCAAUGUUCAAUACUCUUGUUUGCAGUCUGUUAGCAUUCUAAUCUCCAGAAUUAUUUUAUUACUACUACUAUGACUACCACUGCAAUCAUCAUCCUUAUAGUUAUUAUUAAUCACAAUGAUUAUUAAUGAUGAUGAUAACAAUCCUUACUUCUUUUUUGAUUUCAUCUUCCUCUCCUUGCACAUUUAUUUUCGUGGUUGCCUGUUUCUUCUGCACUAGUUUUUGUUCUUCAGAGUGUUUGCUUAACUGCCAUUCCAUUUUAAUAGCGAGUUUUCUCUUAUUACAUUAUGUGAUGGAGCACUGAUAUACGGUUUUUUCAUGAAAUAGGCAAUGAACAAAUACCAUAUGACCCCCAACCUCAACUCUCCAUCUCCUUCCAACUCACUUCAGUUUCAUUCUCCAGAAAAGUAGAAACCUUGAAGUGUUUCAUAUGUUUCAUUCAAAUUAUUUUAUAUACACACACACACAAAUAUUUUUACGCAGAGGGGCAUAUAUUAUGCAUCAUAUUCUGAAAAUAUCUUGUUUCAUCGAACUCUACAAUGUAUGUCUUUCCAUGUCAUGAGUACUUCAUUCUUUUUACCAAUUUUUCCUUUCUGAUGUAAGGUAGCAUCAACUUAUAGUCAACAAUUUUAAAAUCAGAUUUUUGUUCUUGGAUUUUGAAACUACAAAUGAACACAUACUCAUUUUAGAAGUAAAAAUUAUAUAGAAAUAUAUUGACUGCCCCCUCCUCCAAUUUUAUCCCUUUGUAAUACCCAUGUUAUUCGUAGGUUAAUGGGUUAGCAAGGAAUGAGAAUGCCCAUUUUUAUAAAGACUUAUCAUCACUGACGGUUAUCAAUCUUUGAUUUUUCUAACUGGAUGAGUGAAAAGAUGUUCUCAUUUUUCCCUAAAGUCAUCUUUAAUUAGUCAUUUACAUUUCCUAUUCCAUAAUUUUUCUUUUGAUUACUUUUGUCUACUUAAUGUUGAAUUGCUUUUUUUCAAUUUAUAUGUGCAUGUUUUACAUGAGCAAUAUUAUUCCUUUUUUGCAUUUAGAUGGUUACUCACUGUCCAUUGUUUGUCUUUUAAGUUAUGUUGGGUAUCUUUGUCAUGCUGAAAUUCUUAAUUUUCUGUAUAUACAGAGAAAAUAUCUGAAAUUUUAAUUUAAAUGUUAUAUAAAGUAACAUUUUAAUGUCAUAUAAAAUUCAGGCACCAAUUUUAUGUUUCCUUAACUUCAUCUCAAUGUAUUCUUUAUUUGCUCCUUUUCAGAUUCUUGGGAAGUGAAGCUCCUCCUAUUUGCAAAGAAAAACUCCUUCCCUUGAAAUUCAGACACACAACAUCCCUACCUUGCAUCCUUUUGAACCUAUAGUUGCUUGACAUAAAGUUUUUUUUUAAUGUCCAUGUUGUAGAAAUAUUUUUGUGAUUCUAUACUUAAAUUCUACUUACAUUCAUUGUAACCAGAAACAACUCUAAUUAUACAUUUUGGAAAGUAUUGAGAUUGUGAGCUAUUCUAAGAACAUUUACAUGACUGUUCUAUGGAAACUUUUAAAGCAAAUAUGCUCUCCUUUUACAUCAUACAGAAUUAUGUACAUAUCUAUCUAUAUAUACAUAACUAUCUUUAUUUAUAUCAGACACCUAUAGAAUCUAUUUCUGUCAUUGUUACAUGUGUCUUUCUUUACUUCUCCUGUUGUAGACUUAGGUAAGUGAAUAACAUUGUCUACUUAUUUCUCCUAUUGUUUUGCUUUAUAAAUGUUGACUGCAUGCUACUUGGUACAUAGACCUUUAUAAAUGUAAAAUAUUUAUUGUGAAUUUUACCUCUUCAUAUUUUUUAUGAAUGCCGACUUCUUCAAACAUAAGUUUACCUACUUUUGUAGGGGGUGUGUGUGUGUGUGUCUGUGUGUGUUGGUAUUGAACAUUAUUUCUGUUUAGCCAUUUGACUAAAACCAAAACAAAUGAGAUAUUAUGGUUAUAGUAAGUGUGUAUGUGUGUGUGUAUGUGUGUGCAUGUGCAUGCAUGUGUGACCAUCUCCUGAUCAUUCAACUUUGCACUUUAAUUGUACUAUAUUGUUAUUUGACUUAACAAAACUUUAGUAAAA